GUCGAGAAUCUUCCGCAAUGCGCGAAAGCGUGACGGAGCGACACCGCGUGAUGGAUGAAGUCCUUCGGGGCGUAAACAUCUUUUAUAAAGGAGGAAAUUUUUGACGUUACUUUAUGAAUAAGGGGCUCCCAAUCUCGUGCCAGCAGGAGCGGUAAUACGAGAGCCUCAAGCGUUAUCCGGAAUCAUUGGGCGUAAAGGGUGCGUAGGUGGUUUGAUUAGUCUCCCGUUAAAACUUCGAGCUUAACUCGAAAAGAGCGGGGGAAACGGUCAAACUAGAGUAUGUGAGAGGUGUGUGGAACUCAUGGUGUAGGGGUGAGAUCCGUUGAUAUCAUGGGGAACACCAAAAGCGAAGGCAGCACACUGGCACAUCACUGACACUGAGGCACGAAACCUAAGGUAGCGAAUGGGAUUAGAAACCCCAGUAGUCC
rnacentral:rRNA from 1 species